CCCUGGCUCAGGACGAACGCUGGCGGCAUGCCUAAUACAUGCAAGUCGAGCGGAGUAAGAAUGGAAGCUUGCUUCCAUUCUUACUUAGCGGCGGACGGGUGAGUAACACGUAGGCAACCUGCCCUCAAGACUGGGAUAACUACCGGAAACGGUAGCUAAUACCGGAUAAUUUCUUUCCUCUCCUGAAGAGAGAAUGAAAGGCGGAGCAAUCUGCCGCUUGGGGAUGGGCCUGCGGCGCAUUAGCUAGUUGGUGGGGUAACGGCUCACCAAGGCGACGAUGCGUAGCCGACCUGAGAGGGUGAACGGCCACACUGGGACUGAGACACGGCCCAGACUCCUACGGGAGGCAGCAGUAGGGAAUCUUCCGCAAUGGGCGAAAGCCUGACGGAGCAAUGCCGCGUGAGUGAUGAAGGUUUUCGGAUCGUAAAGCUCUGUUGCCAGGGAAGAACGUCCGGUAGAGUAACUGCUACCGGAGUGACGGUACCUGAGAAGAAAGCCCCGGCUAACUA
rnacentral:rRNA from 1 species